UAAGUUCUUAGAUGAACUCUCGGAUCCAUUGUACUGUCAAACAUCUCAAACUUAGGGGGUUUAUACCCCUCAGUUAGAUCGAUAUCGAGUUGAAUGCAGAGGUCUUCGUAAUUCAUUCCUUCCAUCCCUUUACUUCCUUCGAAGCCCUAAAUUCGGCUAGUCGGCUUUUAGAGUUCUUCUGUCAGAUUCCUUAUAAGAGAGUCUUUAUUAUCAAAUACGAGUGUGCUUGAAGUGGGUUAUGUAGGAUGCAACACAGUUUUCACAUAGAUGGGGGUGUUGUGGUGAGGGUAAAAAUGGUCAUUUGUGGAGUUCACAGCUUCCGGGAUGAGCAGUGGAGUAUGUGUGGCAAUUGUUGCAGUGGUGGUGAGGAGAGAAGUGUUUUUAUGGUUUCAGAAUGUUUUGUGGAAGUGUGGGGUUUUGAGUUUUUGAGAAAUUGACAUCUGGGGUGGUGAGGGAAAAUGACAAGCUUGCCAAGUUCCGAACUUGGUGUAGUUCUUCUAGAAAUUUCAACAACUUUUGCUCGAGUUGGGAGGCACAUUCCUUGGAAAUCUGAAUACUCUGAGUAACCUCUACCCGUUCAAUUGAGUUCUCCUUCCUGGUGUUGCUCAAAUCUUCCAUUUUUCCUCUAUUCUUGUUUCUGAUAGGACUCGGAGGAGGAGUUGGUGUAGGGCCAUUGGAUCUUUUGGAGUAAGAUGAUGACGCCAGAGUGCACGAACUAACCUUUGGGGAGGGGAAUAAAUGAAAA
rnacentral:lncRNA from 1 species